rnacentral:lncRNA from 1 species
CCCCUCUUUGCUCUCUGGCCUCUUUAUUUUCUGCUUCUCUCCAUCCUGUUCUAAUUCUUUCAAAAAGAAAUGUUUUCCUUCUCUUCUUUUCAUGUUAUGACACUAUUUGUAUAUCAUCAUCUUUAUGCUCAAAUUAUUUAAUGCUCACCCUCUUUUCUUGAGGAUAGCAUUUGGGGAUUUUAGGAGGGAGAACUGAAAGUUGUCCAUAUUCUUAACCCCUCACUUACAAUGUGCAUAUCACCACUCAAUGGACAUUAUUCAAAGAUGUCCAUGAUUUGACCUGAUCCUCCCUUUCCUGAAACAUCUCACUGCUACCUUCACAUUUUUCAUGCUGUUAAAGUAUAGGUUUCUGAAUGCAUAAUUCAACUUCUUUCUGAGCUCCACAAAUGACUCAUAGUAAGCCCAUUUCUGGGCUUUUGUAUUUCAAGAACUAAUUUAAAAUUCUAUAUCUCUUACAUAGGACCAAUGUGACCUUCAGGAGAUUAUUCUAUAGCUCUGAGCUUUAUUUAUCUCCUUCACAAAUGGAAGGAAUUUUACUAGAUGAUUCUUUAUCUCCCUUUCAGUAUUGAACGUGUGAUUUCCAUCUUAACUACUUGUUUCUAAAAAUAUUAACCCUCUAUUUCAAUUCAUGCCUCCCUAUUUUGCACGGUUUUCUCCAGCAUUUGGAAUGAAGAAUACCUCUCCCUCCCUUGAAGCCCUAUUACUUCUCAUGUUUCAGAGAAUCUAAACCCAAAUCUCAAGCUCCUCCAGGAAGGGUGUAAAAAAAACUAUGGCUGAAUGAAUUCAAUUGCAUUAACAGCAGUUACAGAGCUGGAAGGCAGAGUUGCACAAAUUCAUCAGUCAAAUUCUCUCUUCAAGAAUCAUGGAAAUCCAAUGGCAUGACAAAAGACUGGUGAAGACUGAGGAUUGAGUGAAUGACCUUGGUGUCUUCAAUGUCUGACCAAGCUCUAAACCAUAUUAUAUAACAUACAUCAACUUUGACUGCUUUUACGACCACUGGAAAAAUAUUUUCUCAUCUGUCCAUUCUUAAAGGGGAAAUCUUCAUACACUUUUCUUUUAGGCAUUCCCUUUACUCACUUUACUUACUUUUUUUUUGAGGAAACCAUGAUAGUAUGAAAACAAAAUACAUCAAUAAAAGUUAUUGGUGAAUAUGAAAUAU